rnacentral:lncRNA from 1 species
UUCAGAGCCAGAGCUUGGAACUGCUUAUCCUAUGCUGAGAGUUUCUUUUGCCAAGGGUUGUGUCUCCUGCUGGGAGUGCAAACACAUCUACAUCACCUUCCAGGCAGGGAGGGAGAGGACUAAAAGAACAGCACCAGCAAAUCACUUUAAGCAGGCAACAAAACCACAAAAAUAAACCCUUGAAAAUGGGACUGAAUGACACGCCCACAUCACUGAUAAAUGCCGUUUUCAGCGGCCUCAUCUCUUCGCCAGAGAGAUCAGUCAACUUGGACUCUUGUUACCAUCACAUUUGGCAACCACCACCACAACCACCAUCAAUACCACCUUCAUCAUCACCACCACCACAAAUCACCAUCAUAUCACCCUCACUUUCAUCAUCACCACAACCACCAUCAAUAUCACCGUCCCCUUCACCAUCGCUACCAACACAGCCACCAUCAUCAAUAUCACCCUCAACUUUAUUAUCACCUCCACCAUCAGCAGCAGCAUCAACUUCAUCAUCACCUUCACCACCUCUGCCAUCAGCAGCAUCAUUAUUAUCUUCAUCAUCGUGGUUUCAGCCACAAUCAGAAUCAACAGCCAUCACCCAGAGUUGGAGGAGCUGGGAAAACAUACAAUGAUUCCACAUGAGCCUGAGACUCUUCCUGGAGGCCAGCUUUCUAGAUUUUGCCGGGAAGCAUCUUGAGGACCUCUUGCCUUGUGGUUGCAACACAGGAGGCAGCAUUGAUUCUCUGCCUCUGUCUUUGGUUCCUGCAGGGCAGGCAGCUGCCAGGGGCUGGUGGGCGCAGCCCCAGCAGGGUGAGCGCAUCAUCUCCAGGCCUCCCCUAAGAGACAACCUGAGCUUCACUUUGCCAGGUUUCCACUGCUCUGGUUCCAUCCAGAACUGACCAGGAAUUCGCCAAGGACAGCCAGCUCCUCCCACUUGGCAAAUCCACUAUUUACGUCCAAGCAGGAAGUGGGCUGAGAGAAGCUCUGCCUUCAUAGUUCCUGGGAGGCAUGAACUGGUUGCUGCAUGCUGAGCAUUUCAAACUGGCACACGUGUCACCCACUCAGAGAACACCCCUGACCUUCCCAAGGAAGCCAUCUGCACUCCGACGCCAUAUACCCGUGAUCUGCACAGGACUGUCACCAUCUGGAAUUGAUUGCCUCUCUUCCCGUUUUGCUAUUGUCAUUUGCACCCACAGGAAUGUCACCCACAUGAGUGUGGAAUUUCAUCUGUCUG